CCUACGGGUGGCAGCAGUGGGGAAUAUUGGGCAAUGGGCGCAAGCCUGACCCAGCAACGCCGCGUGAAGGAAGAAGGCUUUCGGGUUGUAAACUUCUUUUCUCAGGGACGAAGCAAGUGACGGUACCUGAGGAAUAAGCCACGGCUAACUACGUGCCAGCAGCCGCGGUAAUACGGGGGAUGCAAGCGUUAUCCGGAUUUAUUGGGUUUAAAGGGUGCGUAGGCUGUGAGGUAAGUCAGCGGUGAAAUGCCCCCGCUCAACGGGGUGAAGUGCCAUUGAUACUGCCUUGCUGGAAUGCGGAUGCCGUGGGAGGAAUGUGUGGUGUAGCGGUGAAAUACAUAGAUAUCACACAGAACACCGAUUGCGAAGGCAUCUCACGAAUCCGCGAUUGACGCUGAUGCACGAAAGCGUGGGUAUCAAACAGGAUUAGAUACCCUAGUAGUC
rnacentral:rRNA from 1 species